GAGUGGCGAACGGGUGAGUAACACGUGGGUAACCUGCCCAGAAGUAGGGGAUAACACCUGGAAACAGAUGCUAAUACCGUAUAACAGAGAAAACCGCAUGGUUUUCUUUUAAAAGAUGGCUCUGCUAUCACUUCUGGAUGGACCCGCGGCGUAUUAGCUAGUUGGUGAGGUAAAGGCUCACCAAGGCAGUGAUACGUAGCCGACCUGAGAGGGUAAUCGGCCACAUUGGGACUGAGACACGGCCCAGACUCCUACGGGAGGCAGCAGUAGGGAAUCUUCCACAAUGGACGCAAGUCUGAUGGAGCAACGCCGCGUGAGUGAAGAAGGGUUUCGGCUCGUAAAGCUCUGUUGUUAAAGAAGAACGUGGGUAAGAGUAACUGUUUACCCAGUGACGGUAUUUAACCAGAAAGCCACGGCUAACUACGUGCCAGCAGCCGCGGUAAUACGUAGGUGGCAAGCGUUAUCCGGAUUUAUUGGGCGUAAAGCGAGCGCAGGCGGUCUUUUAAGUCUAAUGUGAAAGCCUUCGGCUCAACCGAAGAAGUGCAUUGGAAACUGGGAGACUUGAGUGCAGAAGAGGACAGUGGAACUCCAUGUGUAGCGGUGAAAUGCGUAGAUAUAUGGAAGA
rnacentral:rRNA from 1 species